rnacentral:misc_RNA from 1 species
GUAGGCUCUGCCUCAUCAUAGCCGGGCCUAUGGAAAAUCUGGCAGUUAUUAAUGGCUUGGAAAGAAAGCUGGGCUAGGGAAGAACACCUAGCCCAGCUUUAGUGAGAUCGUAACUUCUAACUUUCUAGAUUAGCUUGGUUGUGCUGGCAAGGCUGAAUAGGCCUAUGAUUUGACUUUACCAGUUGGGAUGGGACCGUCUCGAUCUGCUCGCGCGAUGCGCUUAAAAGUAGGUGGGCACAAAGUCUAAAAUUUUUUCGGAGUAGCUAAGGUCCUUUUCUUACAGGGAAAGAUAUAAUCGAAUAAGCUCGUCAGGGGCGGGGCUGGUCUAGUCUUGUAUAGCCUUGUCUUGAU